rnacentral:rRNA from 1 species
GAUGAACGCUGACAGAAUGCUUAACACAUGCAAGUCUACUUGAAUUUGGGUUUUUAACUUAGGUUUGGGUGGCGGACGGGUGAGUAACGCGUAAAGAACUUGCCUCACAGCUAGGGACAACAUUUAGAAAUGAAUGCUAAUACCUAAUAUUAUGAUAAUAGGGCAUCCUAUAAUUAUGAAAGCUAUAUGCGCUGUGAGAGAGCUUUGCGUCCCAUUAGCUAGUUGGAGAGGUAACAGCUCACCAAGGCGAUGAUGGGUAGCCGGCCUGAGAGGGUGAUCGGCCACAAGGGGACUGAGACACGGCCCUUACUCCUACGGGAGGCAGCAGUGGGGAAUAUUGGACAAUGGACCGAGAGUCUGAUCCAGCAAUUCUGUGUGCACGAUGAAGUUUUUCGGAAUGUAAAGUGCUUUCAGUUGGGAAGAAAGAAAUGACGGUACCAACAGAAGAAGUGACGGCUAAAUACGUGCCAGCAGCCGCGGUAAUACGUAUGUCACGAGCGUUAUCCGGAUUUAUUGGGCGUAAAGCGCGUCUAGGUGGUUAUAUAAGUCUGAUGUGAAAAUGCAGGGCUCAACUCUGUAUUGCGUUGGAAACUGUAUAACUAGAGUACUGGAGAGGUAAGCGGAACUACAAGUGUAGAGGUGAAAUUCGUAGAUAUUUGCAGGAAUGCCGAUGGGGAAGCCAGCUUACUGGACAGAUACUGACGCUGAAGCGCGAAAGCGUGGGUAGCAAACAGG